rnacentral:rRNA from 1 species
AUGAACAAAAGCGCUAUAUGGCCAAUUAGAUGUUCUCACGACGAAGUGGACUUGGUGAAAACAAUUCUGGGAUGUUCGACGUCAGCCUUCCCGUGCACCUACUUGGGUCUACCCUUAACACUCAGAAAACAAUCUGCAGCGCAGAUACAAGGCCUGGUGGACAAGGUUCGUGAUUGUUUGCCUUAUUGGAAAGCAUACCUCUUACUGAAGAGUGGGCGACUAAUCUUGAUUCAAUCAGUGCUAUGUGCUAUACCAGUCCACUCCAUGCUUGCUCUGAACCUCCCAGCUAAAACCCUCUCGGUGUUGGUGAAGAUUUGUCGGGGAUUUUUGUGGUGCGGCAAGAGUGAGGCAAAAUGGGGUGAUUUCUCGGUGGCUUGGGAUGAGGUAUGUACGCUUAAAUGGGUUGGUGGCCUGGGGAUUCCAGAUUUGAGAUGGCUGAACAAAGCACUGCAAGCCCGAUGGCUUGGCUCCAAAGGACUGACAAUGAGAGAUCUUGGGCUGAGUUCUCCAUUGAUGUGCCCCCGGGAGCGAUGGCCUUGGCUCAGGCGGUGCUACGUCUUGAGCUUGCGUUGGUUUUCCUUGAAGAGGAAAGGGUGA